UACGUAGGUGGCAAGCGUUGUCCGGAAUUACUGGGCGUAAAGGGCGCGUAGGCGGACAGUUAAGUCAGAGGUGAAAGCCCAGGGCUCAACCCUGGAAUAGCCUUUGAUACUGGCUGUCUUGAGUGCGGGAGAGGUGUGUGGAACUCCGAGUGUAGAGGUGAAAUUCGUAGAUAUUCGGAAGAACACCAGUGGCGAAGGCGACACACUGGCCCGUAACUGACGCUGAGCGCGAAAG
rnacentral:rRNA from 1 species